rnacentral:tRNA from 1 species
GUAGUUGUAGUAUAAUUCGUAAUGCGUCCGUUUACUGAAUGGAAAUUGUGGGUCCAAGUCCUGCUGGCAGCA